rnacentral:sRNA from 1 species
GGGGGGGCCGGUUGGGGGUGGGGGUAGGGGUUGCAAGGGCCUCAUUUUUUCUUACUGCCCCCAUCCGGUUCGGGGAGGUGGCGGGACCUUGGCGGCGCCCGGAGCCGGCGUGGCGCUCAUCGAGGGACGCCCGGCCCAAGUGGUGAAGGUGAUAAAGUAAAGUGCUUUCACUGUGGAGGAGGGCUAACUGAUUGGAAGCCCAGUGAAGACCCUUGGGAACAACAUGCUAAAUGGUAUCCAGGGUGCAAAUAUCUGUUAGAACAGAAGGGACAAGAAUAUAUAAGCAAUAUUCAUUUAACUCAUUCACUUGAGGAGUGUCUGGUAAGAACUACUGAGAAAACACCAUCACUAACUAGAAGAAUUGAUGAUACCAUCUUCCAAAAUCCUAUGGUACAAGAAGCUAUACGAAUGGGGUUCAGUUUCAAGGACAUUAAGAAAAUAAUGGAGGAAAAAAUUCAGAUAUCUGGGAGCAACUAUAAAUCACUUGAGGUUCUGGUUGCAGAUCUAGUGAAUGCUCAGAAAGACAGUAUGCAAGAUGAGUCAAGUCAGACUUCAUUACAGAAAGAGAUUAGUACUGAAGAGCAGCUAAGGCGCCUGC